GGAUCAAUUUAUUGGUCGUGCCAACGGUACGCACUGGUACAAUUGGUUUCUCCCUUCUGACGAAGCAUGAUGUCAUUAAUUUGAUGUCGUGAGGAAUCAGGACUGUUACUUUGAAAAAAUUAGAGUGUUUAAAGCAGGCUUUGGCUUGAAUACAUUAGCAUGGAAUAAUGAAAUAGGACGUUUGAUCUUAUUUCAUUGGUUUCUAAGAUCGACGUAAUGAUUAAUAGGGAUAGUUGGGGGCAUUAGUAUUCAAUUGUCAGAGGUGAAAUUCUUGGAUUUAUUGAAGACUAACUACUGCGAAAGCAUUUGCCAAGGAUGUUUUCAUUAAUCAAGAACGAAAGUUAGGGGAUCGAAGACGAUCAGAUACCGUCGUAGUCUUAACCAUAAACUAUGCCGACUAGGGAUCGGAUGAUGUUAAUUUUUUAAUGACUCAUUCGGCGCCUUACGGGAAACCAAAGUGUUUGGGUUCCGGGGGGAGUAUGGUCGCAAGGCUGAAACUUAAAGGAAUUGACGGAAGGGCACCACCAGGGGUGGAGCCUGCGGCUUAAUUUGACUCAACACGGGGAAACUCACCAGGUCCAGACAUAGUAAGGAUUGACAGAUUGAGAGC
rnacentral:rRNA from 1 species